GGAGCCCAGAAUAUUUACAAAUCAAUGUUUUCCCUCUCUGUCCCACAGCUCUUCCGAUGGCCUAAUGGACCAUGUCAACCACACAAACUGCGUGCUGGCAGAACAGAGCGCUGUCCUUCAACCCUGACUCUGGAAAACCGACUUCCUUUGCUGCAGCUUAACCUUUGCAGUGAGCCUUGAUAAGAGGCUUAAGCACAGCUAUGCUUCUGCAAAGCAAAGACUUGGGACCUCCAGACAGCUCUGGAAGAAGGGUCUCUCCUGUGCAGACUGGCGGUCACCACCACGUGCUGCAGAGCUGGAGCUGAGUCAAAGCGACAUGUCAGAGAUCGCCUUAGACCUUCCUUCACUCACACUGUGAAAUAUUGGCCAUCUUUUCUGCCACAUGGAGCAAAGCAGCCCCUUCAGACAGCUUCCAGAUGCAUCCUUUCCAAGAAAACCCCUUUGCCUCCCCAAACCAGAGGGCAAAGCUUGCAUCCUUCAGGAAUAACCACAUGUGUUCCUGAGGAUGGCACAGGAACUUAAAAAAAGAAAGGUUAAAAAGCCUGAGACCUCAACAUGGCAAAAGGUGUGAGCCUGAGGGAGCAAUGAUGCCCAAUGCACCAGCAUCAACCCACGAGAAGCCAAAUGUCUGUCAGGAGCUGCACUCAAUGAGGUCUGUAACUCUGAGAACUCCACAGCAUCAUCCUCAAGCCAGGAAACAACCCAAGACUCUGGAUAAAAACCCUAACAAGGUACUCGGUCCUUUCUUUCCCCAUCCACCUACCUGCAACCAUUCCUGGAAGAAGACCAUUCCUCGGCUUUGCCUGGAUCCACUUUAUAUACAUGGGAU
rnacentral:lncRNA from 14 species